rnacentral:rRNA from 1 species
GACGGAGGAUGCAAGCGUUAUCCGGAAUCACUGGGCGUAAAGCGUCUGUAGGUGGUUUAAAAAGUCCACUGUUAAAAAUUGAAGCUUAACUUCAAAGAUGCCGUGGAAACUUUUAAACUUGAGUAUGGUAGGGGUAGAGGGAAUUUCCAGUGGAGCGGUGAAAUGCGUAGAUAUUGGAAAGACCACCAAUGGCGAAGGCACUCUACUGGGCCAUUACUGACACUGAGAGACGAAAGCUAGGGGAGCAAAUGGG